CCUACGGGUGGCAGCAGUGAGGAAUAUUGGUCAAUGGACGAACGUCUGAACCAGCCAAGUCGCGUGAAGGAUGACUGCCCUAUGGGUUGUAAACUUCUUUUAUAUGGGAGUAAACUGUUCCACGUGUGGGAUUUUGUAUAUACCCUGUGGAUAAAGAUCGGCUAACUCCGUUCCAGCAGCCUGGGUAAUACGGAGGGUCCGAGCGUUUUCCGGAUUUUAUGGGUUUAAAGGGGGCCUAUGUGGAUUUGUCAGUCAGUUGUUAAAGUUGGGGGCUCAACCGUAAAAUUGCAGUUGAAACUGGCAGGCUGGAGUACAGGAGAGGUGGGCGGAAUGCGUGGUGUAGCGGUGAAAUGCAUAGAUAUCACGAAGAACUCCGAUUGCGAAGGCAGCGCACUGGAGUGCAACUGACACUGAGGCUCGAAAGUGUGGGUAUCAAACAGGAUUAGAUACCCGAGUAGUC
rnacentral:rRNA from 1 species